GCCGUUCGAUGCAAAUUUAGUGACUAAGCUUCUUUCUUCAAUUCUACAGUGAAUAGGACUCCAUUUUUUAUGAGGUUUGGAUUUGAAUUCAUCUGGUGACAAGCUCUAUUUAAGGGGAGGACUUUGGAGAAGGUUCAGCAGGCUGAGAGCAGUGAAAAUAGCAAUCAAAAAGAGGAUUUAAGAGAGAAAAAAAUAAGAGAUGUGAG
rnacentral:lncRNA from 1 species